rnacentral:piRNA from 1 species
GAAAACUAGUAGAAAAGGAAAAGC